rnacentral:rRNA from 1 species
CUUGGUCAUUUAGAGGAAGUAAAAGUCGUAACAAGGUUUCCGUAGGUGAACCUGCGGAAGGAUCAUUACUGGGUAUAGGCCUCGUGCCUCCAACCCCACCCUUUGUAACCGCGGCCCGGAUUCGGCGCCUGGCGGGGGACCCCUCCGCUAGCGGAGGCCCCUCGCCUGCCGGAAUCAGCCAACCCUGCCUUGAAACUGAAGUCUGAGAACAAGUUAAAUUAAAUAAAACUUUCAACAACGGAUCUCUUGGUUCUGGCAACGAUGAAGAACGCAGCGAAAUGCGAUAAGUAAUGUGAAUUGCAGAAUUCAGUGAAUCAUCGAAUCUUUGAACGCACAUUGCGCCCCCUGGUAUUCCGGGGGGCACACCUGUUCGAGCGCCAUUUCACCCCUCGAGCCCUGCUCGGUGAUGGGCCCCGUCCUCGCGGACGGGCCCGAAACUCGUAGGCGCCAUCGUCCGGCCCUAAGCGUAGCAAGAGAAAUCCCUCGCUUGGUGGACCGUCCGGUGGUAGCCCCGACAACUUUUUUUUUUUUACAAGGUUGGCCUCGGAUCAGGUGGGGAUACCCGCUGAACUUAAGCAUAUCAAUAAGCGGAGGAAAAGAAACCAACAGGGAUUGCCUUAGUAACGGCGAGUGAAGCGGCAACAGCUCAAAUUUGAAAUCUGGCUCACGCCCGAGUUGUAAUUUGUAGAGGAUGCUUCGGGUGAAGCCGCGGUCCAAGUCCCUUGGAACAGGACGUCAUAGAGGGUGAGAACCCCGUACCUGGCCGCCGGUGCCCCCCGCUGUGAAGCUCCUUCGACGAGUCGAGUUGUUUGGGAAUGCAGCUCUAAAUUGGUGGUAAAUUCCAUCUAAAGCUAAAUACCGGCCAGAGACCGAUAGCGCACAAGUAGAGUGAUCGAAAGAUGAAAAGCACUUUGAAAAGAGAGUUAAAAAGUACGUGAAAUUGUUGAAAGGGAAGCGCUUGCGGCCAGACUUGCCCGCGGUUGCUCAGCCCGCCCUUUGGCAGGUGCACUCUUCCGCGGUCAGGCCAGCAUCGGUUUGGGCGGUCGGAUAAAGACGUUGGGAACGUGGCCUCCCCUCGGGGAGGUGUUAUAGCCUAUCGUGCAAUGCGACCAGCCUGGAUCGAGGUUCGCGCUCUGCUAGGAUGCUGGCGUAAUGGCCGUAAGCGGCCCGUCUUGAAACACGGACC